CUAACACAUGCAAGUCGAGCGGUAGAGAGAAGCUUGCUUCUCUUGAGAGCGGCGGACGGGUGAGUAAUGCCUAGGAAUCUGCCUGGUAGUGGGGGAUAACGCUCGGAAACGGACGCUAAUACCGCAUACGUCCUACGGGAGAAAGCAGGGGACCUUCGGGCCUUGCGCUAUCAGAUGAGCCUAGGUCGGAUUAGCUAGUUGGUGAGGUAAUGGCUCACCAAGGCGACGAUCCGUAACUGGUCUGAGAGGAUGAUCAGUCACACUGGAACUGAGACACGGUCCAGACUCCUACGGGAGGCAGCAGUGGGGAAUAUUGGACAAUGGGCGAAAGCCUGAUCCAGCCAUGCCGCGUGUGUGAAGAAGGUCUUCGGAUUGUAAAGCACUUUAAGUUGGGAGGAAGGGCAGUAACCUAAUACGUUAUUGUUUUGACGUUACCGACAGAAUAAGCACCGGCUAACUCUGUGCCAGCAGCCGCGGUAAUACAGAGGGUGCAAGCGUUAAUCGGAAUUACUGGGCGUAAAGCGCGCGUAGGUGGUUUGUUAAGUUGAAUGUGAAAUCCCCGGGCUCAACCUGGGAACUGCAUCCAAAACUGGCAAGCUAGAGUAGGGCAGAGGGUGGUGGAAUUUCCUGUGUAGCGGUGAAAUGCGUAGAUAUAGGAAGGAACACCAGUGGCGAAGGCGACCACCUGGGCUCAUACUGACACU
rnacentral:rRNA from 1 species